UAGAGCUAAUGGAAGCAGCCUGCAGUGUUUCUGUGUACAGCAAUCUUAGAAAAUGAGAUGGAAUUAUGUGCUAUGAGACAGGAUGAAAUGUUAUUUUUGUAAAGAAAUGCUGCACAGGCUGUAUUAAUAAUUAGUAAUAAAUGGAACAAAAUUGUCCCUUUUAAUGAAUCCAUUUAUGUUCCCAUAAAGAAUCAGUCUAUUUAUUUAUUUAUUAUGCCAGAGAAAACAGAAAGGAACAUGCUCAGUAUGCUUCAUGUGGGAUACUGUAAAACAAUGGCAUAGCAGUGUUGUUGAUAGGAACCGAGGGCAUGGGGACUUUCCUAUUUGCUGGCUGCAUGUGAUGAGACACGAUCAUCUCCAAGAAAAUGGGAAAACAGAGGACUGAAACAGCAUUUGCCUUCUUUCAUCAGGAUGGAAUAGAAGAGAUAUAACUAAAAGAAUUUUAAGAGGGAUUCUGAAGGACACAUCCUGUCUUAACACUACAAUAUGGCCUUGAGGAAAACAAAACAACACUAAAAGCAUGGUAUCAGUAUCAGCAGUCACUUCAACUUGCAAAUGGAUUGUUGAAGGUCCAUAGACAGGAGUGAAAAAUGGUAACUGGUACCAACCUUUCUAAACAUGGGAUGUAAUAGAAGAAGUUAACAGAUGAAUUUCACUGUGUAACUAGUAUGUAUGUCCAGCGUCUCUACUAUUACUGUCUAAUUCAUUUGUCUUUGGAAAUAGCAUCGCGCUUUUUCAUGUCUUCAUAGGCCCAUCUAUCACACCUGAAAACUGCUUCUGAGAGGAAAUCUGGAGGAAUUCCCUUCUAGACGCCAGAAGAGCUUAGCAUGUAGAUUUUUAAGACAAAAUGACAGGAACUGAUCAUAUAGAUAAUUAAGCCUAUCAUAAUAAUUUUCCAAAUCUGGAGAAAUAGAUGCAUGCCUUAAAGCUGCCUUUUUUUCCCAACUACUCUUGUUUUUGUUAGUGAAGUGAAAUACCUUCCCAGAAAACCUUGCUUCCCCUGAGUUUAUUACUGUACUGACAACUGAAAACAAAAUAAUUCUUGGUCUCUUUCUCUGUGUUACUGUAUUAGAUGCAUCUUGAGCAAAAGAAAAAAAAAGAAAGUAAUUGCUCUGCUUUCAGAAUAAAAUAAUCUGUUUACUUUUA